rnacentral:rRNA from 1 species
AAACAACAGGGAUUACCUUAGUAACGGCGAGUGAAGCGGUAAGAGCUCAAAUUUGAAAUCUAGCACUUUCAGUGUUCGAGUUGUAAUUUGAAGAAGGUAACUUUGGAGUUGGCCCUUGUCUAUGUUCCUUGGAACAGGACGUCACAGAGGGUGAGAAUCCCGUGCGAUGGGGUGUCCAACUCUAUGUAAAGUGCUUUCGAAGAGUCGAGUUGUUUGGGAAUGCAGCUCUAAGUGGGUGGUAAAUUCCAUCUAAAGCUAAAUAUUGGCGAGAGACCGAUAGCGAACAAGUACAGUGAUGGAAAGAUGAAAAGAACUUUGAAAAGAGAGUGAAAAAGUACGUGAAAUUGUUGAAAGGGAAGGGCUUUAGAUCAGACUUGGUGUUUAGUACUCUUCACUCCUUGUGGGUGGGGCUCUUGCUUUAUACUGGGCCAGCAUCGGUUUGGAUGGUAGGAUAAUAGCAUUGGAACGUGGCUUCGCUUCGGUGGAGUGUUAUAGCCUUUGUUGAUACUACCUAUCUAGACCGAGGACUGCGUCUUUUGACUAGGAUGCUGGCAGUAAUGAU